UGGACUAGUAACCAAAAAGUUUCAAGUUCAAAUCCCCAAGCUGACAAGGUACAAAUCUGUCGGUCUGCCCUUGAACAAGGCUUACCUGUUCCUAGGCUGUCAUUGAAAAUAAGGAUUUGUUCUUAACUGACUUGUGUAGUUAAAUAAAGGUAAAAUAAAUCUGCACUUCUAUAACUCCAGUGUUAAUUGCUAAAUUGUAAUUACUUCACCACUAUUGUCCUAUUUAUUGCCUUACCUCAUUUGCACACACUGUAUACAGAUUUUUCAAUUGUUAUUGUCUGUAUGUUUGUUUAUCCCAUGUUAUCUGUUGUUUCUGAGGCACUGCUUUGCUUUAUCUUGGCCAGAUCGCAGUUGUAAAUGAGAACUUGCUCUCAACUGGCUUACCUGGUUAAAUAAAAGGUGAACAUUAUAUCCAUUUCUAUAACUAAAUAGUUUGAUUACAACAAGAAAAAUACACACUGAUAACAGUUUGUCUGACGUAGAUCUCUGUCUACUAUCUUAAAUAAGGAUAAAUACGGAUAACGUGAUUGGCAGAUGUGAUCAGCAGAGCUAAUACCAAAGAUUUGUUAUACCGAAGCCAAGAGAUCCCUGUUGCCUGUUGUUUCAAAUGGGUCAUUUGAGUCAUAGUUGGCAGACCAAGCAAGGUGGGCAGAGCCAAGCACGAGCUAGCAAGAUCCUAUUUGCGCGUUCUACCACUAUUAGCAUAUUUAUGUUAAGGAACGCCUACUCUGAAGUGAGCGUGUGCAAUAACUCAAUUCGCCUUGGUACUCCUAAACAACUUUUAAAAACUUUGGCAAAGGGUAAAGUCCACUCUGUUCGUAACAUAUUAUAGUUUUGGGAACAGAAAACUGUAUAGAUCAAAUGCUUCAUCGGUGAGAAAAUUAGCAGAGUGUGAACCAAAAUCAAUUUUUUGUUCCAUCUUCUCCCAUAUUUGGUAGCGAAUGGAAACGCCAAGCGGAUGCUUCACAAUUAUACAUCCGGUGAAAUCUGUGAUAGUAACGUACAUGAUAUUACGAGUUGCUCGGUAGUACUCUGCGCCGUUUGCCUGUCCAACUAGCGAACUUAAAACGAUUUCCCCAAGAUGCUCAGUCAGAGCCAUGUCAGCUCCAGAUUUGACUACUUCAACUCACACCCUGCUGGAAUCCCUGCAUUCUCAGAUUCCCCUCCACUGAUUUGCACCCUGGAUGGCCUCCCUAUUGCAGCUCACAUUAUGUUCAGGAUUCUAAUUCUAGCCUACAGGCCCAGAAAAUGACCAGCUCCUUAAUACCUCUUGGUCUGGAUAAAGUGAUGUACUGUUUUUCUUUUUCUGUGAUCUACAAUUGUGUCAAUAUUGAAGUUGUCUUCUCCUUAAUGAUUCAGUGGACAAUCACCAAGACUUUGCUGUGUACGGUUGCCUAAUUGGUUGAAUGAGUUGAGCUGCAGGCAUCAUAACUGCAAAGUCCCUUGCUGUUUGUAAAUGCUGAUUCAAUAACCACCUAACCACUUUGAUUCUGAUUUACUUUUGGUCUUGGAAUACACUUCUACCUGUUGCUCUAUGUUUAUAAUAAAAACAUGUUUGUUGUGCUUUUACUAGCAGUGAACAGGUUAGGUAGCAGUUUUCUACAUAUUGUAUAUCAAAUCAAAUCAAAUUUAUUUAUAUAGCCCUUCGUACAUCAGCUGAUAUCUCAAAGUGCUGUACAGAAACCCAGCCUAAAACCCCAAACAGCAAACAAUGCAGGUGUAAAAGCACGGUGGCUAGGAAAAAACUCCCUAGAAAGGCCAAAACCUAGGAAGAAACCUAGAGAGGAACCGGGCUAUGUGGGGUAAUUGACUGUAUAUGUUACAUUUUAGAACAUGGUAGAUUAUCAUGUAAUACGA